AUCAAUAAGCGGAGGAAAAGAAACCAACAGGGAUUGCCCUAGUAGCGGCGAGUGAAGCGGAACAGCUCAAAUUUGAAAUCUGGCCUCGGCCCGAGUUGUAAUUUGCAGAGGAUGCUUCUGGCGCGGUGCCUUCCGAGUUCCCUGGAACGGGACGCCACAGAGGGUGAGAGCCCCGUACUGGUCGGACACCAAGCCUGUGUGAAGCUCCUUCGACGAGUCGAGUAGUUUGGGAAUGCUGCUCUAAAUGGGAGGUAAAUCUCUUCUAAAGCUAAAUACCGGCCAGAGACCGAUAGCGCACAAGUAGAGUGAUCGAAAGAUGAAAAGCACCUUGAAAAGGGGGUUAAAUAGUACGUGAAAUUGUUGAAAGGGAAGCACUUAUGACCAGACUUGGACCGGGCGGCUCAUCAGGGGUUCUCGCCAGUGUAUUACGCUUUAGACGGGUCAACAUCAGUUUUAGACGGGGGAAAAAGGCAUGAGGAACGUAGCAUCUCCGGUUGUGUUAUAGCCUCCUGUUGCAUACCCUGGCGGGGACUGAGGAAUGCGCUUCGCCUUUAUGGCCGGGGUUGUCCCACGUACCAGCUUAGGAUGUUGACCUAAUGGCUUUAAGCGACCCGUCUUGGAAGG
rnacentral:rRNA from 1 species